rnacentral:rRNA from 1 species
CCUACGGGAGGCAGCAGUGGGGAAUAUUGCACAAUGGGGGAAACCCUGAUGCAGCGACGCCGCGUGAAGGAUGAAGUAUUUCGGUAUGUAAACUUCUAUCAGCAGGGAAGAAAAUGACGGUAUCUGACUAAGAAGCUCCGGCUAACAACGAGCCAGCAGACGCGGUAAUACGCAGGGGGCAAGCGUUAUCCGGAUUUCCUGGGCGUAAAGGGAGCGUAGACGGUAUGGCAAGUCAGAUGUGAAAACCCGGGGCUCAACCCCGGGACUGCAUUGGAAACUGCCGAACUAGAGUGUCGGAGAGGCAAGUGGAAUUCCUGGUGUAGCGGUGAAAUGCGUAGAUAUUAGGAGGAACACCGGUGGCGAAGGCGGCUUGCUGGACGAUGACUGACGUUGAGGCUCGAAAGCGUGGGGAGCAAACAGGAUUAGAUACCCCAGUAGUC